AGAGUUUGAUCCUGGCUCAGGACGAACGCUGGCGGCGCGCCUAACACAUGCAAGUCGAGCGGAGACAUGUUGACGGAAGGCUUCGGCUGGAAGAUGAUAUGUUUUAGCGGCGGACGGGUGAGUAACGCGUGAGCAACCUUUCCUUCACAGGGGGAUAAGAUACCGAAAGGUGUUCUAAUACCGCAUGAGACCACAGAGCCACAUGGCACAGGGGUCAAAGGAGGAAUCCGGUGAAGGGUGGGCUCGCGUCCGAUUAGAUAGUUGGUGGGGUAACGGCCUACCAAGUCGACGAUUGGUAGCCGGACUGAGAGGUUGAACGGCCACAUUGGGACUGAGAUACGGCCCAGACUCCUACGGGAGGCAGCAGUGGGGGAUAUUGCACAAUGAAGGAAACUCUGAUGCAGCGAUGCCGCGUGAGGGAAGAAGGUUUUCGGAUUGUAAACCUCUGUGGAGCGGGACGAUAAUGACGGUACCGCUCAAGGAAGCCACGGCUAACUACGUGCCAGCAGCCGCGGUAAUACGUAGGUGGCGAGCGUUGUCCGGAAUUACUGGGUGUAAAGGGAGUGUAGGCGGGAAUGCAAGUCAGAAGUGAAAACUAUGGGCUCAACCCAUAGCCUGCUUUUGAAACUGUAUUUCUUGAGUGAAGCAGAGGCAAGCGGAAUUCCUAGUGUAGCGGUGAAAUGCGUAGAUAUUAGGAGGAACACCAGUGGCGAAGGCGGCUUGCUGGACGACAACUGACGCUGAGGCGCGGAAGCGUGGGGAGCAAACAGGAUUAGAUACCCUGGUAGUCCGCGCUGUAAACGAUGAAUACUAGGUGUGGGAGGACUGACCCCUUCCGUGCCGCAGUUAACACAAUAAGUAUUCCACCUGGGGAGUACGACCGCAAGGUUGAAACUCAAAGGAAUUGACGGGGGCCCGCACAAGCGGUGGAUUAUGUGGUUUAAUUCGAAGCAACGCGAAGAACCUUACCAGGGUUUGACAUCCUGCUAACGAAGUAGAGAUACAUCAGGUGCCCUUCGGGGAAAGCAGAGACAGGUGGUGCAUGGUUGUCGUCAGCUCGUGUCGUGAGAUGUUGGGUUAAGUCCCGCAACGAGCGCAACCCUUGCCUUUAGUUGCCAUCAUUAAGUUGGGCACUCUAGAGGGACUGCCAGGGAUAACCUGGAGGAAGGUGGGGAUGACGUCGAAUCAUCAUGCCCCUUAUGCUUAGGGCUACACACGUGCUACAAUGGGUGGUACAGAGGGCAGCGAAGUCGUGAGGCCAGGCUAAUCCCUUAAAGCCAUUCUCAGUUCGGAUUGUAGGCUGAAACUCGCCUACAUGAAGCUGGAGUUACUAGUAAUCGCAGAUCAGAAUGCUGCGGUGAAUGCGUUCCCGGGUCUUGCACUCACCGCCCGUCA
rnacentral:rRNA from 1 species